UAGCUCUCAAUAUGGCGGUUAGAAAAAUCCUUGUUUUAUGCUUAGUGGGGUUUGCCUUCCUGCUUGUGUUCAAUGAAGCCCGACCAGCUCCAGAUGCAACUGGAGGACAACAUGUUCAUCAUUAUAAAAUUGAUGGGAAGAAUGGUACUGGAGGUAA